GGUUGUGUAGUGUAGUGGUUAGCACUCGGGAUUUUGAUCUUUCAUCAGAAAUAUUCCCGCGACCCCGGUUCGAUCCCGGGCACGACCU